AUGAUGGAGGCAAGAUGGAGCGACUGCGUACACGGCUACCUUAUUCACGUUUUGCGACAUCGCAUGGCCUGCCCGGUUUCCGGAUCUCACUGCUUGCAAUACGUGGUUGUGGGGUACUUAAGGAUUAUGAAAUUAACAGAGGAUCUGUAAAGGACAUUUUGGUCGUCGCUAGUCAACAAAAUACUGCUAUAGCUGUUACUCACAAACCUGAAUCUUAUUACUUUCAUUUCUCAAGAGUGUUUGAUCAAGACUCCAGCCAAGAACUGAUCUAUAAUUCUGUGGCAAAACCAGUUGUACACAGUACUCUAAAAGGCUACAAUGGAACUAUUUUUGCAUAUGGACAGACAGGAAGUGGAAAAACUUUCACUAUCUCCGGAGAUAAGGACAACCAAGGUAUCGUCCCUCGGGCACUACAGGACAUUUUCACUCACAUCAGCACUAUUGAAAAUGAAAAGUUUGAAGUCCAGAUGUCUUAUUUAGAGAUCUACAAUGAAAACAGUAAUGAUCUUCUUAUGCCAAACUUCGAUGAGAAGAAGAAGAUCUGCUUGCGAGAGAACUGCGAUAAAGUGAUGGAGUGGCAUAACUUAAGUGUACGUCAUGUGGCAACGUUCUCAGAAGCCAUGGAAUGGGUAGCUAUUGGUGACAAUCACAGGAUAGUGUGUGACACACCCAUGAAUGUGUUUUCCUCACGUUCACACACCAUCCUCACCAUCUACUUGACGUCUCAUAUAGAGGACAGCUUGGAAGUGCGCAAAGCUAAACUCAAUCUUGUUGACUUGGCUGGAUCUGAACGUGUCCACAAGACAGGAGAAGAGGGAAUUGUCCUAGAGGAGGCCAGACACAUCAAUCUGUCUCUGCACUAUCUUGAGCAGGUGAUUGUUGCUCUGUCUGAAAGCAAUCGCACCCACGUGCCAUACCGAAACUGUACCAUGACAUCUGCCCUCCGUGAUUCUCUGGGUGGUAACUGCAUGACCGUCAUGAUCGCAAACAUUGCCAUCAACAAGGCUAACUUUGAGGAGACAGUGUCGACAUGCCGGUUUGCGCAGAGAGUGGCUCUGGUGCGCAAUGAGGUCUCAGUCAAUACAGAGAAAGAUCUGAAAGGGGAGAACAGUCACCUGAGAGACGAGAUUCAACAACUCAGGAUCCAGUGUCUCUCACUACAAGCCAAGGUUCAGGAGCUGGAACAGAAGAGUGCAUGUGAAGAAUGGCUAGCUUCGGUGCAUUCAGGAGAAGUGGCAAACCUGCGUGAGAACAUAAAACCAACACCUUCUCACACCGGAGGACUCAGCGUCCAACAACUGCAGACUGACAUCAUACAUCUGAUAGAGUGGUUUCAAGAUGAGUUGAAACAUAAGAACGGGAAUUUGCCAUCUCUCAGCUGUGACACUGUCCUCUCCAGUUACAGCACAGACAUAGUAACACAUAUCAAAAGAGUUCAACAGUUUUUAUUCCUAGACAAGGCAGAAACAAGCAUCAAGAGAUUAAAAGUUGAAUCAAUUGCGAAGGAGGCAGGACGUGAAGAUUACAUACAAGUUGAUAAGUUGAACCAGAUGAAGGUUUUGAACAUUUUGUAACCACUGUGGAGGCAGAGGAUGACUGGAACAAGGCUAAGGAGGCAGAACAGAAUGCUGCUGAUGCUCUCAUGACCAAUGUAAAACUCAUCAACUCUGUACACGAUGAGAUGUCUGCUAAAAUCUAGACUUCAGUCUUCUAAGCGAAGUCUUCAACGGAUUAAACGCAAAUACAUGGUUGAAUACAAUAACUGGAAGAAGGAUGAGAAAUCUUCAGAAUUUCUAUUUGAAAUUCUUGAUGAUGGCGGCAAC
rnacentral:misc_RNA from 1 species